AUGGACCCGCGCCGCGACGGAGGCGGAGGCGGAGGCGGCGCCUCCGGCGAUGGCGACGGCAACAACCAAAUUCUGUGGGAUUGGCAAGAGAAGGAGCAUGGCGAACCUAGUGAUGGCAAUCAUGAUGUUGCUAAGUUCGUGUGGGAUUGCCUCAACCGAGAUGAUGAUGAUGAUGAGCUACUUGGAUUACUGGGAAAUCAAACUCCUCUGCGAGACUGCCGGGCCUUCUUUGAUAUUGGGGAUAUCACUUGCAAGGAGACACUAGACCUGGAGGAGUCUCGGGAAUCAAAGCGGCGACGCGUGUUGGAGUACCCUUCUGAGGUUAAGCAGCCAGAAGUUGGUGAUCAUGGAAUGUGUUCUAAUUUUGUCACAUCUGAGGUAGCAGAGACUUCAUUGCUUUGCACUGAUGAACCACAGAGUUUAAACUGGAAUAUGCAGCUCAAUUCAGAUGAUUUAGAUAAGUUCAGUUCCUUGUCUAAUGAAGCAUCCUACGAGCCAUCAGAUAAUCAAUUGGAUAAUUACUCUGAAGGAGCUACUAUGUACUACACGCCUGAUCAAAUGCCUUCUAGCCAGGAGAGCGUUACAUACAUUGGUUGUCAAACCGAUGUGCCAGGAACAAGUGAGAUUGCUCCGGUGACAGAAAGUCUCAUAAUGCAUGAGACUAGGAAACUUUCUACGCUCAAAGUAUCUAAAGGAGGAAGCUCGAUGAUCAAGGCGAAGCAAAAUGUAACUACAUCUAUAGCAUACCCUUUUACCCUUAUCAAACCAUCUUGGGAAGGAGAUGUCACUCUCAAGGAUAUAAAUCAGCGCAUCCAUGCUCCUCCAAAGAAGCCUCCAGAAAUCCUGGAAACUUCAGCUUUCUCUGGGAAACCCGUCAUUGGCAAGACAAGAAUCAGAACAGAAGGUGGGAAAGGCAGCAUCACAAUACUAAGAACCAAGGGCUGA
rnacentral:rRNA from 1 species